rnacentral:lncRNA from 1 species
CUAAUAUUCCAUUGCAUUUUUUUCUGUGAGACAGCUGGCAGCAGAGGGGUGGUCUUGCAAAAUGUUGUCUGCCAUGGAAGUACGUGUGAUACCAAGGGGUGUUGUAGAAUUCCUCAUCAUGAAAAAAAUGCACCUACUAAUAUUCAUCUAUACUGGCUGAUUUAUUUGAAAUAUUUGGUAUAAUUAUGUAUAAUGGCUGUGAACCUGUGAAGUGACAUAUUCUGAAUACUAACAUCAAUUGUUUUCUUACCUUCUAUUUGCAGCUUAUGAGGGAACCAUUGAUAUAUGACUCUUGUUUUUCUGAGUACUUUAAUAAUACUUCACUUUUAGAAGAAGCUGCAACUUAAAAUAAAGCCCAUUUUCGAUUUAUGUAGUUGUUACAUUUCCACCAUGGGACUACACAGCACCACAAGAGAUUCUGAAGUUAUCUGAUACUCAAAUAAGUCAACCUUGGAAUCAGAUACCACUUCAGCAGCGGGACUGCUCAGGGCCAAAUCCAGCUGAAAUUCCAGACUCCCCAGGCCAUGGCUUUCUUCCUCUGCCACCAACUAGAUACAUAAGAAUAUUGCAUCUAAGGUGAUGCCAUUAAGCCUCACAAAUUCAUCAAGAAAAAAGCCUUGUAACUCCUAAGAGGAAGAAGCAUUGUGAACAAGAAAAUCUUGCUCUAUCUAUCUUUCUCCAAAGAACCAGUUGUGUUACGCAGGACAAAAUAACAAAAACAAACAAGCAAACCAAAACUGUCAAAGGAUGCCUGAUCUGAGGUAUGUAUACAUCACCAAGCACAUCACCAACUCCAGGAAACAUGGAAGGAAAACAAAACAAAAAAAGGUUCCAGUCAGCCUC